rnacentral:rRNA from 1 species
GCAAUAUAUGAGACCGGCGCACGGGUGCGUAACGCGUAUGCAACCUACCUUUUACAGGGGAAUAGCCCAGAGAAAUUUGGAUUAAUGCCCCAUGGUAUAUUUGAGUGGCAUCACUUGAUUAUUAAAGUUCCAACGGUAAAAGAUGGGCAUGCGUCCUAUUAGCUAGAUGGUAAGGUAACGGCUUACCAUGGCAACGAUAGGUAGGGGUCCUGAGAGGGAGAUCCCCCACACUGGUACUGAGACACGGACCAGACUCCUACGGGAGGCAGCAGUGAGGAAUAUUGGACAAUGGGCGCAAGCCUGAUCCAGCCAUGCCGCGUGCAGGAAGACGGUCCUAUGGAUUGUAAACUGCUUUUGUACGGGAAGAAACACUCCUACGUGUAGGAGCUUGACGGUACCGUAAGAAUAAGGAUCGGCUAACUCCGUGCCAGCAGCCGCGGUAAUACGGAGGAUCCAAGCGUUAUCCGGAAUCAUUGGGUUUAAAGGGUCCGUAGGCGGUUUGAUAAGUCAGUGGUGAAAGCCCAUCGCUCAACGAUGGAACGGCCAUUGAUACUGUCAGACUUGAAUUACUGGGAAGUAACUAGAAUAUGUAGUGUAGCGGUGAAAUGCUUAGAUAUUACAUGGAAUACCAAUUGCGAAGGCAGGUUACUACCAGUGGAUUGACGCUGAUGGACGAAAGCGUGGGGAGCGAACAGGAUUAGAUACCCUGGUAGUCCACGCCGUAAACGAUGGAUACUAGCUGUUC